CGCUGCUGGUCGGCGGCUCGGGGCUGUACCUUCGCGCGGUCCUGGAGGAGUUCGAGUUCCCCGGCACCGACC
rnacentral:tRNA from 1 species